GAUGAAGAACGUAGCGAAAUGCGAUACGUAAUGUGAAUUGCAGAAUUCAGUGAAUCAUCGAAUCUUUGAACGCAUAUUGCGCUCUCUGGUAUUCCGGAGAGCAUGCUUGUUUGAGUAUCAGUAAACACCUCAACUCCCUUUUCUUUUUUGAAAUGGGAGCUGGACUUGAGUGAUCCCAACACUUUUCUCACUGGAAAGUGGCGGGUCACUUGAAAUGCAGGUGCAGCUGGACUUUUCUCUGAGCUAUAAGCAUAUCUAUUUAGUCUGCCUAAAAAACAGAUUAUUACCUUUGCUGCAGCUAACAAAAAGGAGAUGAGUUCUUGUGCUGACUGAUGCAGGAUUCACAGAGACAGCUUUGCGGCUGACUUUGUAAACUCGAUCUCAAAUCAAGUAAGACUACCCGCUGAACUUAAGCAUAUCAAUAAGCGGAGGA
rnacentral:misc_RNA from 1 species